rnacentral:lncRNA from 1 species
AUGUAGCACGUCAAUCAAGAUAUGAUCAUUUUAUUUUUAAAAAAAUGAGAAGCCUUUUGUUUUAAGAGGAGCAGGCUGGUAAUUUGGAGGCAACGCAGAGCGAGGAGCUUUCAUAUUUCCAGACAGAAAAGAUUUGGCUGCUGAUGGAGAAGUUGAGGGUUGCAUAAUGAGAUCCCGCUCUGCUGAGGUUCCUGUUCCCAAAGAGGAGAGGGGAUCGCAGCCGUCUGGCUGAUUGAUAGAAGUCCAGGUUGGCCAUGCCGAGACAGGCUGGCAACAUGCCGGAGAAGGUGCACAGGGGUGUGGAUACCAGGAGGUGGAGCUGCCACACCCAGCUUGAUCCCCACGUCUGCUUCCAAGUGACGCCUAUUUGCAAAACUCAAAUAAAUACAGCCUCAAAAGGGAGGUAUUUGCUCCAUUAGGAGACUAAGGCAAAGGGAAGGAAAAGCCCUCAGAACAGGAAGGCCAGAGAUCCAGGUACACCGAUGAGAAUGCCUUUAACUCACCGCCUGGCCCAGAGCAAGUUCCUGCCUCUGCCAGGCCUCAGUGACCCCAUCUGCACAGUGGGAAUGAAUGAGAUGAUGCCAGAGGCCUCUGAGAUGCUGUGGUCCUACGAGUCUCAGCUCUAGGAUGAUGCUGCCCAAGGCCUUGAAGGUGCUUUCGGUGACAGCAACACUGAUAGAGAAAGAAUCAGAAGUGCCCAGUCCAGCCUGGUGGCCACCUCCAUCGCUAUCUUGAAUCCCUGGGACAACAGCUUUUACGUCUCAUCUCUCCUUGUGACCAUCUGAUCUGGGGCGAGAGAGGUGAGCAAGGACCCUGGGGGUUGAGGAGUAGAGCAGAGAGUCCUCCCUGUUUGUCUGCCCAGACCCUUCGAAACUGGGCUUGCCAAGUCCUCCCCUGAGGAUCUUCCUCUUCUGAACUCUGAACCCUGGCCUGAAUAUGACAGGGGUCCCCAGAAGGGGGUCUGGAGAAAGUUCUGCCCCCGUGAGCUGCUGCCUACUCAUCAUUUGGGUGAGAUCAUGCUGUUGGAUGUCUGUCUGCCUUGGCAACCUGUAUUAGUCUGUUUCCACACCACUGAUAAAGAUAUACCUGAGAUUGGGUAAUUCACAAGCAAAAAGAGGCUUAAUGAACUCACAGUUCCACGUGGCUGGGGAGGCCUCACAAUCAUGGCGGAAGGUGAAAGGCAUGUCUUAGGUGGUGGCAGACAAGAGAGAAUGAGGAAGAAGCAAAAGCAGAAACCCCUUAUAAAACCAUCAGAUCUCAUGAGACUUAUUCACUACCAUGAGAACAGUAUGGGGGGAUCCGCCCCCAUGAUUCAAUUAUCUCCCACUGGGUCUCUCCCACAACCAUGGGCAUUAUGGGAGUACAAUUCAAGAUAAGAUUUGGGUGGGGACACAGACCAAACCAUAUCACCGCCUAAGCUGCCUGGCUGUGCUUUUGUUGCUACCCUGCCCAGGCCCUCCCCUUGGGCCCAGGAGAAAGAGUGUGUGUGUUUUAUCCCAGGAGAGCUCUGGCCACCCCCAGCUGGUUUUCUGUCCACACAGAGGCCCAAGUCUGUGGACACAGUCACACUCAGGCCCACAGAUCCACAUGGGAUCCCAUGCUCCAGGCAGGCCUCAGCAUGGGCAGAGUGAGCCCAAGCUUGGAGGUCCACCCAAGCAAAGAGCCUUUAAGAUGAAGAGGGAAAAAAUGAAAGAAUUAUUAAUACAACUAAAUAAAUCAGCCAUUAUGGGAAAAAUCUGAGUUGCGUGGACUUCCAACACUCAUCUUACGGGUUAGCAUUGCUUUUGUUUUGCAUCCUGUAUGCAACACACCCUCCCUCCAACCUGUUUAGUGCUCAGGGCCUGGGUAAGUCCUAAUCAGGUCUGGAGUGUCAGGUGAAGAGGGGCAAUGUCUCAGCCCACCCUGGGGUUCAGGCCUGCCGCUCCUCUAUCCCCAAAUCCCACACUGCUCCUGGUUCUUUCUCUAGACCCCCUUCUGGGGACCCCUGUCCUAUUCAGGCCAGGGUUCAGAGUUCAGAGAGGAAGAUCCCCAGGGGAGUACUUGGCAAGCCCAACUGCCAAGGGUCUGGGCAGAUAAACAGGAAAGACUCUCUGCUCUACUCCUCGUGAGCCCAUUCUGCAGAAGGAGCUGCCCUGGCUCCAUCUGCAGCAUGGGCUCAAGCUGUGUUCCUGGGGUUCCUUUCUCCACCAUAGUCACCAGAUAUGAAAGUACAGUUGCCACUCUGAAGAGAGUACAGAUGGACGAAUUACAGUGAAAUGCAGUUUUGCCAUUCAACCUUGGAGGAGACCUAUCAUUACUUACUAAGUUGAACCCAGACACCUCAUUCUGCUGUUUAAAUGAACCGUAAUGGCCUUGGAUCUGUUGAGUAAGUUGGGUAAGGGGAAUUCAUUAAAGCACAGAGCCCUCCCAGGCAUAGAUGGGGAUGAACCAGCAGGACUCUCCUAGCUGGGAGGGGUGCUGGAUCAAAUGGCCUGGCUGUGUUCUCAUAGUCCCUUCUCUAGGUCCAUUACCACCAUGGUGGGCACUGUCUCUCCUUCAAUGCCCUGGUCCUGUGAGGUUUCACCUCUCCCUUAGUCACCGCAACAGAACUGAGCCAGGCUGGUGUCUCUAAAGAGAUUUAGAGACACAAUGACUAAGAAAUAAACACAGGUUGCAGGAAGUCUGGAAAGAACCAAGUUUCUGAAGAUUAGUUUUCUGGCACUAAACUAAACCCAUCAGCUGCUGCAGGGUCCUUCCUCCCACUCCCUGGACCCUAGAGCCAGCUUCAUCAGCUGCAUUUCAUAUUCUUCCAGGACAAGCCCCUGCACAGUGAGGGUCAACCUCUCAGACUCAGUGAGGUCUUUCUCCUCAACUCUAGCCUGAGGGCUUGGAUAGCCAUCAGCCCCAGAGAUGUCCCAGGCCCCCCUAAACAGGCCACCAGCUCCACCCUGCUUGGUGCUAGAUGUGAGGACCUGCUCAGACUAUUGCAACCCAUGUGCAAGGAAGCUGUGUGGUUAGGCCUUUUUGGUUGAGAGUAACAGAAACUCAUCCAAGUAAACUUUAGUGGGAAAAAUAAAUAUAUUUUUAAGAUCUAGGGAUACACAUAGAAUGCAAGGAUUUCUAGAAGAAACUGGAAUCAGGGACGAGGCUUUCUCUGCCUUGUGUCUCUGUUCUUCCUCCUCCCACCCUGCACAGCAGCCUGUCUGCUUCUCCAGGUCCCAUGGGAGAAGAUGGAUGCCCCACUCAUGCCUUUGAGUGUCCAUGUCAUAGAUCCAGGUAUCCCCCAACAUGAUCUGACCUUCCCUUAGUCCAAUUCCAAAAUUUCAAAGGGAGACUCCAACUUGCUAAGAUACAGUCAAAUCAGCUAUGGCCAGGGACGGGACCAAGUCGCAUCAAUAUGCUCAGGAGCAGGUCCCAGAGAAGAGUGGCCACUGCAAUUUGGGCAGAAGGUUCAUCCACAGAAGUGCUCUGACCUUAGCCCAGCCAAGACAGAGCCUAGGCCACCCCAUAACCAGCCUAUGCCUAUAGGGAGGAAAAACACUCAUAGGAACAGGAAGCCUAUUCCCUUGUAAGCUCUGAUGAUAAUGAUGUCACCUUGGGACACAAGGCCCCCUUCUCCACCAUUCAGUAGGUGGAGGGAGGAUGGGGCUUCCGUAAAUAUCAGAAGCACCAUCACAAAGCUCCAAGCUGGAAGCAACCUUACAAAGUUAUACAGAUAGCGCUAGAAGAGAGGUGAGACUUGUCCAAGUGACAGGAUGAUCCUUGCCUCCCUGCCUAGUACUCUGCCCAGUAAUAGAAGAGCCACCUGCAGCAAGAAUGAUUCUCUGUGACAACAGUGAAUUCAGAAUGUUUGUCAGAGGCCACCGAGGAUCGUUGGAGGCAAACUAACAUUGUGCAUCUCUUUUGAUGGAAACCUGUAGGGACAUAUCCAACUCUAGAGUGUUGAGGGAAUUGGGGCAAAGGGGAUCGACUUGAGCCUUGAUUCUAGGAUGAGCCCUGCCUAGCCCUUUGAGACAUGCAACAGAGAGAGGGAACACACACACAGAGAGGGGCGGCGGGGCGGGGUGGGGGAGAGACAGAGAGAUUUCCAAAGCAAGCGCAGAUCAUCAGAAUAGAUCCAAAACCCGCAAAAAGAUUCCGAGACUCCACAGUGAUAGUGGCGUGCUGGGAGCUGUCCUGAGUGCUGACCUGGCUGGCCCCUUCUCUAAGGAUCGUCUAUCAUUGACCCUAGAACAUGCUCUGCCAAUUGGACUGCUCUCCAGUGAGGUCUUUGUUCAGCAGUGACCCCGGCAUAUUAACCUACAGGGUGUUGUAUGGUGGAGACGAUGGGUACAGGUUGCCCCUCCUCACCCAUGGUUAGGCCCCAAGCCAACAGGGCCCUCUCACCCGGACUCCCUCCAGGCUUCCCCCUUGGAACCAUCCCCAACCUCAUCCGAACAAUGUCAUGAAUUUUUCCUCCUUGAUGAACUUCAAAGUCUUUUAAUGACUCUUCAUAAAGGAACAGUGGGGCCAAAAGUUGAGCAAAGGAGAUGAUUAAAGUACCUUAUUAAAAGCAGCCUUGUAGAAUUCUCCACAUGAAAGCAAGCACCAUUAUGAGGGCUUAUCCUUAUAAAUGACGCUUCGCUUUUGCGAACAUGCUGAAACCUGAUUAGAGUGACAAGCACUGACUGAUACUGCAAACCUGUUAAUAACAUGAAAAUUAGAAGAGGCUCAUGCAAAGAAGGGAGAUUAAUUUAGCCGGAGUACAUCUCGCGCAAAUUGCAAAGUUGUGAAUAUGUUCUCAGAUAAUGAGCCUUCCCAGUCAUCAGCUCACUUGUCAUUUUCUGUAAUUAAUGUUAAGGAAGACGCCUUCCUGAUGGUUCGUAUUACUCAUAUACCAAGAAAAUUUCUUCAGAGAAAUAAUUUACAUUUAUUAUCA